GAAAAAGCUAAAAUCAAUCCCUUCAACCUCCUCAUCGGCGGCGGCACCCAUGACCACCAGUGUUCUGACUUUUGAGUGAUCAUCGAGCUGUGAUGGGUUGGUGUUGGAUUUGAUUCAAUUGAGGAAAAUGUGGUGGAGACAAUAAUUCCCAAAUCCUCAAGUUUUAUGAAUGCAUUCCAAUUGAUAGCGAUGUCAAAUGAUCUCGAUUUGUCAGGAUGAGAAUAGAAGACAACAAGAAUUGGACCCAAGCAUACCAUUACUGAAACCACGAAGAAAAUAGAAGCGGCUGCAACGGAUGCGAGUAUUCUGUAGCAAGAACAAAAACUUCAGGAUGUAAAUGCAUGCAAAUAUUCCAAUGGAAACGUAAAUCACUAUAUCCAGGUGGAUUACCAAAAGGAGCUCAUCAAGUAUUCUACGAGCAUGAAUGACCUUGAUCAUUUGGAUAUUUAAAGGAGCCAUUGAUCAAGGGAAGACGAUGAGUUGUGAACCUGUGUGCCAAUUUUGCCAAUUUU
rnacentral:sRNA from 1 species